AGAGUUUGAUCCUGGCUCAGAGCGAACGCUGGCGGCAGGCCUAACACAUGCAAGUCGAACGAACUCUUCGGAGUUAGUGGCGGACGGGUGAGUAACACGUGGGAACGUGCCUUUAGGUUCGGAAUAACUCAGGGAAGCUUGAGCUAAUACCGAAUGUGCCCUUCGGGGGAAAGAUUUAUCGCCUUUAGAGCGGCCCGCGUCUGAUUAGCUAGUUGGUGGGGUAAUGGCCCACCAAGGCUACGAUCAGUAGCUGGUCUGAGAGGAUGACCAGCCACAUUGGGACUGAGACACGGCCCAAACUCCUACGGGAGGCAGCAGUGGGGAAUCUUGCGCAAUGGGCGAAAGCCUGACGCAGCCAUGCCGCGUGUAUGAUGAAGGUCUUAGGAUUGUAAAAUACUUUCACCGGUGAAGAUAAUGACUGUAGCCGGAGAAGAAGCCCCGGCUAACUUCGUGCCAGCAGCCGCGGUAAUACGAAGGGGGCUAGCGUUGCUCGGAAUUACUGGGCGUAAAGGGAGCGUAGGCGGACAUUUAAGUCAGAGGUGAAAUCCCGGAGCUUAACUUCGGAACUGCCUUUGAUACUGGGUGUCUUGAGUGUGAGAGAGGUAUGUGGAACUCCGAGUGUAGAGGUGAAAUUCGUAGAUAUUCGGAAGAACACCAGUGGCGAAGGCGACAUACUGGCUCAUUACUGACGCUGAGGCUCGAAAGCGUGGGGAGCAAACAGGAUUAGAUACCCUGGUAGUCG
rnacentral:rRNA from 1 species